ensembl:lncRNA
UGCUCUCUCUCAUGGUUUUAUUGUAAGUUGCUGUAAUUUGCUAAGUUAUCAUUCAGACAUAGACGGCACUUUGCUCUGGUUAUUAUUAGUUGUUUGUGUUCCAGGACUUUAUGGGUGAAGUUUUCCCUUCAGCAGCAUCAGCAUACUUCCUCCUGGAGUAUUGAAAAGGUCAGCACAACUCAUGCAGUAAUUGCACAUGCGUUUUAAACACAUGUAACAGUCUGGGAGCUGAGGUAUUGGAAUUAUAUGUUUAGGUUUUUGAUAUUUUGUUGCGUUAGUAUCCUGUUUUUAAGACAUUCUUAUGCAUUAGUAGCCAGUUUUUGGAC